AGUUUAUAGGUUUUAGAAGCCCAUACUGUAGCAGGCGAGUGAUAACAGGCUUUAAUCCUUUUAAAGCAUGCUGUGGGAUGGGAUAUUGGCGUUGAGCAGGGUAAGGGUGAUUCGAUUUUAACGGGAUGGUAAUGGGCAUGUGAUCGGUUGCCAGGGAAGGAGUAGAGAUGUCCCAUAUUUGUGGGUUAAGGUGGGGGGAUAUGAGAGGAAGAUGCAAAGGAGGCUUUGGGCUGGGGAGAAGGGUGGCAAUGAGAUGCAGCUGUAGUCCAGGAAUAGUCAGGGAAGCAGAUAAUUUGGUUAAAAUAUCUCGGCCUAAUAAGGGAACUGGGCAGGUGGGGAUAACUAAAAAAGAGUGCAUAAGAGUGUUGUCCAAGUUGGCACCAGAGUGGGGGAGUUUUCAGGGGUUUUGAAGCUUGGCCGUCAAUACCCACAACAGUUAUGGAGGCAAGGGAAACAGGCCCUUGAAAAGAAGGUAAUGUGGAGUGGGUAGCCUCCGUAUUGAUUAAGAAGGGGACGGACUUAUCUUCCACUGUGAGAGUUACCCAAAGCUCGGCGUCCGUGAUGGUCUACAGGGCUUCUGAGGCGAUCGGGCAGCAUGAGUCUUCAACCGCUAAGCCGAGAAGGAGUCAGUCAGAGAGCCUUGGGCCAGAGUUCCAGGGGCUCCGGGAGUGGCUGCCAGGUGAGUUGAACAGUCCGGUUUCCAGUGGGGUCCCACACAGAUGGGACACGGCUUAGGAGGAAUCCUGGGCUGCAGGCAUUCCUUGGCCUGGUGGUCAGAUUUCUGGCACUUGUAGCAAGCUCCUGGGGGAGGAGGUUCUGGAGGAACGCCUGGCCGCUGCGGUUCAGGCGUUUGGAAGUUCUUGUGUGCUGGAGAUGUGGCUGGGAUUUGUCUCACAGUGGAGGCAAGGAAUUGCAACUUUUUUCUAUUAUUGUACACCUUGAACGCGAGGUUAAUUAAAUCCUGUUGUGGGGUUUGAGGGCCGGAAUUUAAUUUUUGGAGUUUUAUUUAAUGUCGGGAGCAGAUUGGGUAAUAAAAUGUAUAUUGAGAAUAAGAUGGCCUUUUGACCUUUUAGUUUCUAGGGCUGUAAAGCAUCUCAGGGUUGCUGCUGAACGAGCCAUGAACUGGGCUGGGUUUUUAUAUUUGAUGAAAAAGAGCCUAAACGCUUCUGAUUUGGGAUAAAGAAAAAGGAGCAUGAACCUUGACUAUGCCUUUGGCUCCAGCCACCUUUUUAAGAGUAAAUUGCUGGGCAGGUGGGGGAGGGCUAGUCACAGAACGAAACUGUAAGCCGGACCAGGUGUGAGGAGGGGAGGCGAUAAAAAGAUUACAGGGUGGAGGAGCGGAGGCUGAGGAAGAAUUGGGACCUAGCUUGGACUGGCGAGGAGGGGAGAGGUCAGAUGGGUCUGUAGAAAAGGAAGAUUAGAAACACUUGGUGAUGCUUGGGGUUGGGACUGAGGUGACAGGCGGGAGGGAAAGAAGGAAGAUUUGGGACGAGUUGCACUGGGCACAGAGACUAGGAAGGGACUGAUGUGUAAAAGAAUGCCUGGAUGUCAGGCACCUCAGACCAUUUGACCCUUUUACGACAAGGAUUAUUUAGAUCUUGUAGGAUGGAAAAAUUCAAAGUGCCAUUUUCCGGCUAUUUGGAACUACUGUCGAGUUUGUAUUGGGGCCAAGCGGUGUUGCAGAAGAAAAUAAGGUGUUUAGGUUUUAGGUGAGGUGUAAGUUGAAGAGGUUUUAAGUUCUUGAGCACACAGGCUAAGGGAGAAGAGGGAGGAAUGGAGGGUGGAAGGUUGCCUAUAUUGAAGGAAGCAAACCCAGAGAAAAGAGAACGUAGAGACAUGAAGGGAAGGGGUUUGGGGGUUCUUUCCCCCUAGAAAAGCGGGACUUGCCACUAAGGGUGAAGGAGAAGGGGUUGAGGGGUACUUGCCCCUGCCCCAGGAAAGCAGAGAAGGGGUAGAGACAAGGAGAGAAGGGGUUGGGGUACUUGGCCAUUCCCCAGGAAAGCAGAGAAGGGGUAGAGACAAGGAGAGAAGGGGUUGGGGUAAUUGCCCUUUCCCCAGAAAAGUGGGACUUGCCGCUAAGGGUGAAGGACCAAGGCAGGCGUCCCUGCGUGGUCUGACACCCUUGAAACGUGGGUGUAUAAUCAGAGAGGCGUCCCUGCAAUGAUUAAACACCAAGGGAAGACUUCCUUCCCAGUCCGUGACCGGCGCCGGAGUUUUGGGUCCACGGAUAAAACGUGUCUCUUUUGUCUCUACCAGAAAAUGAAAGGAAUUGAAAUUAAGAGAAGGGAGAGAUUGAAGUGUAGCACCAAGAUUGAAAGGAGAAAGAGGUUGACGGAUAGUGAAGGAAGUUGGAGAAGAGAGUAAAGAGAGGCCGCUUACCGGAUUUGAAAUUGGUGAGAUGUUUCUUGGGCUGGUCUGUCUGAGGACCUGAGGUCGUAGGUGGAUCUUUCUCAUGGAGCAAAGAGCAGAAGGAGGGGGGAUUGAUCUCCCAAGGGAGGUCCCCCGAUCCAAGUCACGGCACCAAAUUUCAUGCGCGUCCAUGUGAAGAGACCACCAAACAGGCUUUGUGUGAGCAACAUGGCUGUUUAUUUCACCUGGGUGCAGGUGGGCUGAGUCCGAAAAGAGAGUCAGCAUAGGGAGAUAAGGGUGGGGCCGUUUUAUAGGACUUGGGAAGGUAAUGGAAAAUUACAAUCAAAGGGGGUUGUUCUCUGGUGGGCAGGGGUGGAUCUCACAAAGUACAUUCUCAAGUGUGGGGAGAAUUACAAAGAACCUUCUUAAGGGUGGGGGAGAUUACAAAGUACAUUGAUCAGUUAGGGUGGGGCAGGAACAAAUCACAAUGGUGGAAUGUCAUCAGUUAAGGCUGUUUUUACUUCUUUUGUGGAUCUUCAGUUACUUUAGGCCAUAUGGAUGUAUAUGUGCAAGUCACAGGGGAUGCGAUGGCCUGGCCUGGGCUCAGAGGCCUGACAAUACCUUUAUCAAUUGGUUACUAUUUCAAUGCCCCCUUUAAAAUUUGCUAUGCAAAUGAGUAUAUGCUUGUACUUGACUUCCAUAUUUGUGCUAAAGUGAGCAAAGUUAUCUAUAUAAAGAAAACACAAUGAGUUGUGACAAGGAUGACGUGAAAAUACAGGACAAUUCUGACAAUGUAGGGGCUGAUUUUAUAGUGUAAGAACUAUUAAUGCCCCUUGCUUCUUUUUUCUGCCUCUUGCUCUUGUCUUUUGGACAUUUCAGUGAUUGUAAGUUCUUCGGUCAUGUCAGCCCCUGUCAUCAACUUGAGUUACAGUAGAUGGGGCAGACAUGGAGUGUUUGCUUUGCGGAACUAUCUGUCUGUUUUGCUUCCUUGUGCUCUUUUUGUUCUCUGUUCUCCUGUUAAUGAAGCUUUUCCUGCCCAUUAUUAAUCCAAACUCUUGGGCCUUGUGGUUAGGAAAUUCCCUUAACUUCCAGCCAUGUGGCAUUAUCAUGUCUCUUUCUCUCUCUCGCUCUCUCUCCUCUCCUCCUCCCCCCAACAUUUUCUGUCAAAUAAGUACUGUUUACUCAUUUAGUUGCUUAUCAAAUACUUAUUCUUGGUUUUAAAAAAAUUAUUGGUAACUGUACUUUUCUUAUUUUUUAGCAUUAUUCAAAUGUUUACAUUUUAAUACUUUAAACCACUUUAAAAUUUUUUCAUGUUUAAUUGUAGUUUUAAGAAAAACUAUUUUGAACAACCCCAAAUAUAGUGCAUCUAGAAACUAAUGUAUAUUUGAGUAGACAUCACUUAUAGUGGAACAGUAGACUGUAGUACAUGGUAAUUUUCCUUUUACUCUUAAGAUACAAUAAAAC
rnacentral:lncRNA from 10 species